UCCAUAGCUAACCAUAUAGCAGAAUUGUGGGAUAAAACAAACCAACAGUUAAGUUUUGCCAUCUGUCUUUUGAAGGUAGGUACAAAGCAUUUUCAUGCACAAUAGUAACAGUAAAUUUGUCAGAUAGGCACAGAUUUUUUACAGUUUGAUAUAUUCUUUUUAUUUCAGCUUAUAGCUUUGAAACGUUUGUGUGACAGCCAUUUCAUACUCAACCGAGGGAUUUCUUUUUUUUCUAAUAAAGCAAUGGAUUCAAAUCCUGAAAGAAGCUGAAUCAUUUCAGAAGGCAAGGCAGUUAUUUUUCAUGUCCCUGCCUCAUUUCAAGUGAAUAUUUUAAAAACCACCAGGGCCGCAUCUUUCUUUGUUAUGUUAAUCUUGGUUAUAAAUCUGAUUUGCAUAUAAGUUUGGAUUGUCAACUACUCUGUUAGCACUUUAUUAAUAUAUUUACAUUCCUUUUAUAUAAAAGAGAAAAUCAAAAACAGCAAAAGUGCAUUCAUCUUCUUAGUCACAGGAUAAUAUUUUAAAACCAGAUUAGUGUUUUUAAUCCCAGUGGAAAUCAGAAGUGAGACAAAAUGAAGUUCUUGGCCAUCAGUGUGCCAAACAGGGCAAUGUAAGCCUCUCUGCUCAGCAAGCUUUCCUUCCUCCUUCAGUUUUAUUAAAUUCUCUGGGCCCAUGGGUCUAUGGAUAGUGUAAUUAAAUUCAGAUAAGAAAAAACACAGUAUUUUACACGCAUCCAUUCACUUCACCUUUUAAUGUGUAAUUCUCUCUGCAAAGUGAGAGGAAGCCCUGAACCAUGAUGGCCUCAUCUGAUGGAGACUGCUUCGUAAUAAAGACUGAUUUCCAAUGGCAUUUAGUGAGAGACUCCAGCCCAAUCCUGGAGGGUUGGCAACACUCCCACUGAGGAAGGGGAAGGAAGCUCAGUGUCCUUAGCUGGGGGAUCCUAGAGAGGUGCCCCCUCAACACCUGCUGAAAGACUGACCUUGAUCAGGAGAAGAAAGACAUGUUUUCAGAGCUUCCCCAGUCCUCAGAGACUGCUGACUUGGAGAAUAGGCCAGCAUGGAAGGACCUCAUGCUGGAGACAAGGUUGAGUGACUAGGAUUGGAAGGAUCACAUGCUGGUGGAAAGGCAGAAGGACUCAAGUGCACUGAGAUGUGCACGACGAUAUUAUGCAGCUCUUCAAGCAAUACAAACAGAUUUUGCAUAGUAUUAUGGAGCAAAGCACCCCAAACCUCCUCCCAGCAGCCAUUGUGCUUCAUCGACCAUCCAGUGUUCACAGGAAUGUACAGCACUCCUUUCCUCCUCAAGGGGUAAGUAUAGUCUUCGGUCUUAUCCUUACCACCCCAUGCCAGUGAAAAACAAGGAGAACUGCUAUGACUAAGCAUUUACUGACCUAUGAUUUAUGUAGGAUCAAUCAGCAAGUACAUUGCUCUUUGCUUGUAUUUUUGUGUGUUAAAUAAUUGUAGGUAAGGU